AGGAGGGAGAAUACUGUUCACUUGCAGCAACGGAAGGGAGAGGAAGUGAAUCCAGACAAGGAGCGUACACUGGAAAAUCUUGAUUCAGGUAACUGAACCUGUGCUGUUUACAAACAUCAGAGAAAGGCCCAGAAUACAAAACUGUUUGGUUAUAGAAUCAAAAUCCAACGGUGACAGUUACUAAGAAACUCAUUUUUGUUUAGCCCCUCCUGAGGAACCACAAAAUCGCUUUAUAAACAGUAUGCAGAUCUUUA